rnacentral:tRNA from 1 species
GGGAAUGUGGCUUAGUGGUAGAGUGCUUGCCUAGCAUGCAUGAAGCCCUAGGUUUGAUUCCUUAGUACCA